UACGUAGGGUCCGAGCGUUGUCCGGAAUUAUUGGGCGUAAAGGGCUCGUAGGCGGUCUGUUGCGUCGGGAGUGAAAACUUACAGCUUAACUGUGAGCGUGCUUUCGAUACGGGCAGACUUGAGGCAUUCAGGGGAGAACGGAAUUCCUGGUGUAGCGGUGAAAUGCGCAGAGUAUCGGGAGGAACACCGGUGGCGAAGGCGGUUCUCUGGGACGGUACUGACGCUGAGACGCGAAAGCGUGGGGAGCGAACAGG
rnacentral:rRNA from 1 species